AAUGAACGCUGGCGGUAGGCCUAACACAUGCAAGUCGAACGGCAGCACAGUAAGAGCUUGCUCUUACGGGUGGCGAGUGGCGGACGGUUGCGGAAUACAUCGGAAUCUACUUUUUCGUGGGGGAUAACGUAGGAAAAUUUACGCUAAUACCGGAUACGACCUACGGGUGUGAGCAGGGGAUCUUCUGACCUUGCGGGAGUGAAAAAGCCGAGGUCGGAUUAGCUAGAUGGCGGGGGAAAGGCACAACAAGGCGACGAUCCGUAGCUGGUAUGAGAGGAUGAUUCGCCACACUGGAACUGAGAAAGGGACCAGACACCGAAGGGAGGCCGCAGUGGGGAAUAUUGCACAAAGGACGCAAGGGUGAUCCAGCAAUACCGCGUGGGGGAAGAACGCCUUCAGGUUGGAAAGCCCUUUUGGUGGGAAAGAAAAGCAGCACGUUAAUACCGCGUGGUUAUGACGGUACCCAAAGAAUAAGCACCGGCUAACUUCGUG
rnacentral:rRNA from 1 species